rnacentral:rRNA from 1 species
CCUACGGGAGGCAGCAGUGGGGAAUAUUGGGCAAUGGAGGCAACUCUGACCCAGCAACGCCGCGUGAAUGAUGAAGGUCUUCGGAUUGUAAAGUUCUGUGAUGGGGGAUGAACACAAUGACGGUACCCCAAUAGCAAGCCACGGCUAACUACGUGCCAGCAGCCGCGGUAAUACGGAGGUGGCAAGCGUUAUCCGGAAUGACGGGGCGUAAAGGGUGCGUAGGUGGUUUAGUAAGUUGGCGGUGUAAUUCCGGGGCUCAACCUCGGCGCUACCGCCAAAACUAUUAGACUAGAGUGCAGGAGGGGUAAGUGGAAUGCAUAGUGUAGCGGUGGAAUGCGUAGAGAUUAGGAGGAACAUCAGGGGCGAAGGCGGCUUACUGGACUGUAACUGACACUGAGGCACGAAAGCGUGGGGAGCAAACAGGAUUAGAUACCCCUGUAGUC